CGGGUUGUAGCGCAGCUUGGUAGCGCGUUUGACUGGGGGUCAAAAGGUCGUGGGUUCAAAUCCCGCCAGCCCGACUA
rnacentral:tRNA from 2 species